UAGCUUUGAAAACUAGUGUGCGAUCUAC
rnacentral:piRNA from 1 species